AUCACUCAAGAAUGGUACAGAUGUGUGGAGUAUGCCAAUACCUUUAACUCCAGACACCAUGUUCUCAAGAUAAAAGCCUUUAAAACAAAAAGCCAUUGUGUAUAUCAUCAACAUGAAAUUGGAAUGCAAAAUUAAUACUGCUGAGGAUUUCCCUCAUAUCCCAUGCUGUUUAUCUAUUCUACAGGCCUGGAAUCAACCUUUUUUUCUUAAGAGACAGGGUCUGUCUUUGUUACUCAGGCUGGAGUACAGUGGUGCCAUCAAAGCUCAGUGCAGCCUCCAACUCUGCCUCAGCCUCCCCCCUUUCUGAGUAACUCCAACUACAGGCACAUGCCCCAGUACCCAGCUAAUUUUUAAAUUUUUGUGGAGAUGUGUUUCUUACUUUCUUGCCUAGGCUGGUCUUGAACUCCUGGUUUCAAGCAAUACUCCCACCUUGGUGUGGGGAUUGCAGGCUUGACCCAUUGCACCUGGCCUGGAACCAACCUUUAUGGCUAUCAAUACUCCCAUCAAUCAACUGUCUCAGGUAUCAUAAUAUCCCUUCUUAUAUGUAUCAAAACUCAUACUGAACAAUGAGUUCUGGGUUGCAAAAGAGGAUUUAUUUUUUGCACCUAUCUGUAAGUCUUUGUCCACGUUAAACAAAAACAUACAUAAGUGCAGUCCCAAAAUGCACUACAUAGCAGAGUAGUCAGCUCUAUCGUGGUGAUCAAAAUAAUGAACAUCGGGGUAAUGACUGGUUCUCCCCAGGUAUACAUGUUGAAUAAAUGUGUAUGCCUUUUCUUGAACUAAUAAAAAGUGAAAAUGGUAGUUAAAAGUAGUAUUAGGCCAGGUGCCAUGGCUCACACCUAUAAUCCCAGCAUUUUGGGAGGCCAAGGCAGGCGGAUCGCCUGAGGUCAGGAGUUCGAGACCAUGGUGAAAGCCUGUCUCUACUAAAAAAACAAAAACUAGCUGGGUGUGCUGGCUAACGCCUGUAAUCCCAGCUACUAAGGAGGCUGAGGCAGAAUCGCUUGAACCCGGGAGAUGGAGGUUGCAGUAAGCCAAGACUGCGGCCAUUGCACUACAGCCUGGGUGACAGAUCGAGACUCUGUCUAAAAAAAAUAGUAUUAAAGAUACUCUAAAUUUGGAAAGGGAAAUGAGGUUAUUACAAUACUAAGCAUCUGACAGGUCACUUGUCAUGGCUGAACAAAGCUGGGAUAAAAUUACAGCAUUUCAAAUCCCCUCUUCAAGAUGGUUGGGUGUCAAGUUACUUUAAGAUUUUCUUUUCAAAAUUAAAAUCACUACAUUUCAUUGUUUCAAUACUCACAGGACACCUGUAAGCUCUUAUUCAGAAAUCAAAUGACAAUUUCUCAAAUUUUUCUAUGUAUUUUCUCUGGUGUUUUAAUGGUUUUUUUUCUAAUUAUUACUACUUCACAAGUUUCUUUCACAAACUUCUUCACAGGGUUAAAAAUUUUUUUUCUUGUUAUAAAGUUCUGGGUUUCAGAAUUUCUUCACCACCAGACUGGUACAUAUAUCCACAUUUAUCUUUAUUCAUUUCUAUGAAGUCGUUUUUUCUAUAUGCUUCACCUUUGACAUUCAUGAUCCUGUCACAUUUUCAGGCCUCUCUGUCCAGUAUUUUUGGCUUUUGUAGCUCUCUUUUUAGACAAAGCAGCUUCUUCAGUAAUAUCCUCUUCUUCUAAGUAUACACUCAGUCUUACAGGGAAUUCAGAACUUACUAUGAAACUAUCCC
rnacentral:lncRNA from 1 species